rnacentral:rRNA from 1 species
UACGUAGGGACCAAGCGUUGUUCGGAUUUACUGGGCGUAAAGGGCGCGUAGGCGGCGCGGUAAGUCACUUGUGAAAUCUCUGAGCUUAACUCAGAACGGCCAAGUGAUACUGCAGUGCUAGAGUGUGGAGGGGGCAAUCGGAAUUCUUGGUGUAGCGGUGAAAUGCGUAGAUAUCAAGAGGAACACCUGAGGUGAAGACGGGUUGCUGGGCCAACACUGACGCUGAUGCGCGAAAGCCAGGGGAGCAAACGGG